rnacentral:rRNA from 1 species
AGCGAACGCUGGCGGCAGGCCUAAUACAUGCAAGUCGAACGGAUCCUUCGGGAUUAGUGGCGGACGGGUGAGUAACACGUGGGAACGUGCCCUUUGGUUCGGAACAACUCAGGGAAACUUGAGCUAAUACCGGAUAAGCCCUUCGGGGAAGGAUUAUCGCCAUUGGAGCGGCCCGCGUCUGAUUAGCUAGUUGGUGGGGUAAAGGCCUACCAAGGCGACGAUCAGUAGCUGGUCUGAGAGGAUGAUCAGCCACACUGGGACUGAGACACGGCCCAGACUCCUACGGGAGGCAGCAGUAGGGAAUCUUGCGCAAUGGGCGGAAAGCCUGACGCAGCCAUGCCGCGUGAAUGAUGAAGGUCUUAGGAUUGUAAAAUUCUUUCAGCGGGGACGAUAAUGACGGUACCCGCAGAAGAAGCCCCCGGCUAACUUCGUGCCAGCCGCCGCAGUAAU